UAGCGGUGAUUUCAGAGCUCGAGGCAGAGAUGGUGGAGCUCGGGCGAGCUCGAGACUAUGGAUCCAGGGCUUGAGUGCUCACGGGAUGGAGGUGCUCAGGAUGGAGGCAGGGGAGGGCGCCCUGCGGGAAGUGAUUUAUGUGCUCCUUGAUCAGUUUUUUUAUAACUGAUGGCAUCUUACAUUGUUGUCUUUUACCGAUUAACUGGUUAACUCUUUUCCUAAAUGGUCUUAGAUUUCUGCUUUCUAUUUGCGCCAGUUUCUUUUUACAAGAGAUGAGAUCUUACACAAUAUAUUUUUGCCUUGGUUGAUCUAAUUAAAAUUUUCCUUCAGCACGUGCAUAUGAUGUUAAUAUAAAGCUAUUUGGAAGUACAUAUCCAUGGGCGAAAAAAUAUUAUCAUGUAUUUUGUCUGUCAUUUUGCUUGUGUUGAUGUAGUUUAUUGAGCUUUUUCACACGUCAUGAUAUUAUGCCUUAAUUUCUACUAGGCUGCUUUUACAUUUAAAAUUCAUUGUACAAACAUUAUUUACCUAAUUUAUGGAAACAAUAAAUUUGUAGCUCAGGUCAUCUAGGAGAUAAUGUAAACCAAGUCGCUCACCGGUUUAAGAUGGUGUUUAAAGAUUUACUUUGUUCCAGCGACUACUUUGGAUCACAGGAAACUAAAAAAAAAGAGGGCGUCGCCACCACCAUCAUCAGGCUGGCCCACAUCCACGCGCUGCUCGGCGUCACCAAGUCACCGGCACAACUCCUCACGCCCAGGUCGUUCAACAUUUUCUUCCGCUUUUGGUGCGUCACAUUUAGAGUCUUUCUUUCCCAUUUUACCGUGUUUGCAUGGUAAGAUAUUUGGUCGGAUUUGAAGGUUCGUAGCCUUGGCUCCAAAGCUUCAAGCUCUUAUAGAAAUUAGAACUGGGCCUUUUAAAAUAAGUCCUGCAUAAUAGUGUUGUUCAGUGGGAUGCAGAAUUUUUUUUGUCUGAUCGGCUAUCCUUGGUGCUGAUUUAAGUACUGAUUUCAUUAUCAUAUGACUACAAUAAAGAAGCUGUGUGUAUAAAUAUUACUAACUGCUGAUAGUUUGCAUCAGUGAUUUCAA